rnacentral:tRNA from 1 species
CAGGGAGACAACAAAAUGUUAAAUGUUAAUUUUGUCACCUUAGGUCGAUCGGUAUCUCACAUUCUUAAUUUAUUUAAGGAUUUUAUUUCCUAAGUUUUUCUAGGUCACACCCAUAAUUUUUCCUGGGCCAUUAGCUCAGGUGGUUAGAGCGCACCCCUGAUAAGGGUGAGGUCCCUGGUUCAAGUCCAGGAUGGCCCAUAUCUCUAUGUUGGGGGUAUAGCUCAGUUGGUAGAGCGCCUGCUUUGCAAGCAGGAUGUCAGCGGUUCGAGUCCGCUUACCUCCACUGAUUACCACCUCUUCCAUAAUUUAUAGAAGGGAAAUUUUUUGAGUUGUGAUCGAAUUCUGAACGAAUCUAGCUUCCUAAUAUUCUUAUUAAGAAGCUGGACUCAUUGAAUUAAUUUCAUUGUUUUCAGAGAACCUUGACAACUGCAUAGAUUAUUUUUAAAGACAAUAAGCAUCUUUAAUGAUGCAGAUUUAUUAUUUGUGCGAAUGCAUUAAUAACAAUUCUAUUAAGCUGAUGCUUCAAUUAUGAAGUUAUUG